GCCACUACUCUGAAAUCUCUGCUAUCAAAAAGCGACUGAGUCUUAUCUCAGAUCCGCCAUUCCUGUGCAAAGCUCGAGGGUGAAGCUUUCAUUGCAUCUCGAGGGAAAGCCAAGACCUUGAGACCUUGAGGAGGGGAAUCUCGGCUUAGUAGACUUAAUUCCUGUUGCAGAAACCCUAGUGUAAAUACACCUCCUGAUCGCCAUUGUUCUUCCUUCUUGAGGUGAUUUCUGCUUCUGCUUCUGCGUAUGUCUCUACUCUCUACGAAAUGUUGAAGUUUGUUGUUGUUGUGUUUGAAGAAAUUAGAGGAAUGAUGAUACUUUCAUCUGCUAUGCAAUCUUGGUUUAGAUUUUAAUGAGUUCUCUUUCGAUCUGAGCUUGAAAGCCUCAUCGUAAGAAGACCUAGACGAUUUUGACGGAAAUACACAGUCCUUCGAGGUUCGAGCUUGCAUUUCGUUGAUAUCUGAGUUUCUUGGAGCUCCUUUCAAUCCCUGAGCUUUGGAGUAGCAGUAAUCAACUGAGGUUUUUCCCUUGACGUCCACGUCUUCAGGUUCAUAUUUUCUGCUUGAGAAUCGAUCAUUUCACUGAAGUUUAAGCCUUUGAUCUAUGCUGUAGCCUGGUGAGCUGGGCCUUCCUUUACUUCGGCCUUUCUCUCUUAUGGUUUACAGUGUUUUAGAGGCUAAAUCUGGAAUAACGACUUUUCUUGAACCGGACAUCCUUGACUAGCCUGGUGGUAUCACUGAUACAUCCAAAUGGAGACGCUGGUUGUUGUUGCGCAGCAUCGGAAUCAAUACUACAGCAGUGGCAAGUCAAGUUUUCAUGAUGGAUUUAGUUCUUCUCCAUCCAGAAGCUUCAGGGAGAUCAAUUGUAGAGCUUUUCAAUCUGAAGUAGGUUUUAUACCUACCCCAUUGAAGCCCUCUAAUAGUCCUGCUGCGGCUAGUAAGGCGUGCUCUUCCCCUCGAACCCCCGCCAGUGUUAACCAUCGCAGGGAAGAUGAUAAGCACUUUAACAGUAAUGGGAAAGCUAGUGUAGUGCCUAUUAACAUUGAGGCCAGAAAGGUUGAAAGGUCUUUUAGCGAUGACCUCUCUUUCUCUGAACUCUGGGCAGGGCCAACUUAUUCGAACUCACCUCCUCCCAGUUCAUUGCCGAUCCCUAAAUUUUCACUCCUUCAAAAGCGAAGUGUAUCACUUGAUGUGCCUGCUUCAGUAUCGCCUUUAGCAAUGCAUCCCAUUGCUAAGUCUGCUCCGCCUUCACCCACAAGGGAACCAUACUCUUCUUCAAGAGGUUUCUUUCUAAGCACUGACUCAGCAACCAGAGACCUUCGUCGGAUCCUCCAUCUGGAUAUGAGUGAUGAAUGACGAUGGAGGUUCUGAACCCUGUAAAUAAACCAAUUCUGCAGCUUGUGAUGGUGUUAUUUUGUACAUAGAGUAGGUAACUUACCCUGUAUUUCUAGUCUCUGCAACUUCAUUAUGGCUUCUGCAUAGGUGAUGGAAAGAGAACUGUCAGUGGCUGAUUUCUACAACAAUCUCCAGACUUAGCUGCAACAAUUGAUGUAUGUGGGUGUGAUUUCAAUCAUGGGUCUCUCUUAAACAGAGUUGAGAGCAGUGAUAUCUGGGGUUUUUCAGAAAUGGGGCAGCUGCUACAUUCAUGUUGUCUCAAAGAAGUGAAUUUAUGCUUAAGAUGUGAUUCUUGAAAGGUCCCUCGGCUGACUUACCCUGUAUUGUUGUUGCGGAACAUUUGUUUAAGGAUGCAGAUCAUCAGAAACUUCCUUUCUACUUAUCGGGGGCACUAUAACAUUGUCCUUGAGAGGCGAAUUUCACAAUGUCAAUGCUUUUAACUGAUUUCUUCGAUGAAUUAGGUUAGGAAUUUCUUGUUUUCUGUACUAUGUUAAUCCUCUAGGGUUAUUUCUUCUAGUGUUUCUGGUGGAACUCUCUCAAGUUCAGUUGUUUUCGUUACCUUCUCUAUUAAAGUUUGUCUAUUUUUGUCUAUUUCCCUUUGCUCUGUCAUAUAUGAUUCUUUUCAUUCUUCCUCUUAGAAUGUCUCCAGAAACUUCUGACUACAUGAUACACAUGUAAUUCCUGCUUAGUCUCUUCUUCUUUUUAGUCCUGGUUUUCCUGAAUUGGUUGCUUAGAUGGUAGUUGAUGCUCCUUUGUUGUCUCUUCGAUAAACUUAGUCCAACAUCCUGCAUUAGUUGCCCAGAUGAUAGAGUUCAAUCUCCUUUCAUUUUUACUGUUUUCUUUUCACUUCUAAACUCUUCUUCCCCUUACCCUCUUUUCAGGGUUUUUAUGAUGGAAAGUGGGGGACAGGAAGAAGAUUUGUUUUUCUGCCUCUUCUGCUUUCUAGUCUGUAGGGUUAAUGUGUGUCCUUUUGUGCCAUCCUUCUGUAAUUCCUUUUGAUCCUCAUGUUCCCAUGAGUAGCUGUAACUGCUUCUAUUAGGUUUGUCCCUGCGAAAGUCAUCACUCUUUGAAGAUUUCUGACUAUAAUCGGCUUCUCACAAGUGCUGACCCAGUGAGGGAGCCAAUGGAAGAAGGAUAAUCACGUGGCUGGUUUCUUGAUUAAGCAUGAUAUGUUUUUUUUCUUUAGAUAGUGUUAUCCAGAUACCACAAGCAGUAUCAAUUUGUAAUAAAUACUCAGUUGUGACUUGAGUUUGAUGGCUAGAAACAAUUUUCCAUAUGAUGGAUGGGUGAUCCCCAUAAUCUUAGUGUAAGUUACUCUACUAGCUGAUGCCCUUCACCAAGGUUAGUGAAAAAUUCAUGAGUGGCUCCUUUCACAUA